CACACACAGGCCUCUUUUUCCCCUGAAUGUUUCCAUAACAAAAAACAAAUGUUGGAUUUUGUCAUGGAGAUUAAAAAAAAACAAUCUAAGAUGAAUUCAUGUCGCUUUGAGGUCUGUUUAUCUGCACACUUGUAAACCUUUGAAGGGUUGGUAUUUAGACUAAUAAUACUUUUACAAAUAUCUGCAUCUACAAAACAGCAUGUGUUGAAUGCAACACCAGAAAAGCAGUUUUUGAAUAAUUAUUAUUUGUAUUAUUAUGCAAGGUUACCUUGAGGUUAUUAGAUACACCUGUGGCUCUUCUCUUUAUUGAUCAUCUUGAUAAUGUACACAAUUUAAUUAUCCAGCACAAUAUAAAAAUUGGAUCUCAUUUACAAAAGAUUGUUCCACUAUUAAAACAGUUGGACUCGAUGGACUAAAAGAACAGUCCAUAUAAGUUCAUAUUAGUCGAUGGACUAAUAUGAACAAAGAAGAGACCAAGAAAAUACCAAUCAUCUGUUGUUAUUGGAUCACGUUUAAGACAGAAUUGAAGAACCAGAAAAGAAGAAGAACAAGAAGAAGAACAAGAAGAAGGAAAAUAACAAACCCUGACAUUGCCAACCUAAAUAGGUGGAAUUAAGGAAGUUUUUAGUUCCCCUGUUAAUUUAGUGAUAUACGCAAAGACAAUACGCAAAGUUCACUUAUCCUCUCCUGUGUCUUAGAGCACAUAAUGGGCUAUUGGAUUCCUACUGAAGAACGAAAACGACUUAUUCCAUCUGCGUUGAUUGGCCGUGGUCAUGCGUGUCAUCCCCCUCUGAGAGACUUGGUCGCCAUCGUCUUGUGACAUACUGAGUACUGACAACCAAGAAAAUACAGACUGUAGCAGUCAGCAGGGUUAUAUGUCAGCAAAAACGGGAGACUCAAAAAACAAAUUAGGUCUAUAUCUGUCUAUAAUUGUGUAUAAAGUAUGAGUCUAUAAGUCUAAGGCUGCCAUGUCGGUGCCUGGAAUUGUAAUUAUUUUUUCAAUCUUUAAUGAGUUUGUGAGAGAAGGAAAAGGACAGUAACACCUCAUUGAGAGGGGUUCUGCUUAAGGACUGUGAGGUUUGAGGUGUCAAUGCAAUGGCUUGUGUAUUGGGCUGUUUGGCCGUCAGAGAUGUGUAUCUUGUGAGUGACUGCGUUUAGAAUAGAAACUGUGAAUUACUGAGUCACACCCUGUGGUGUAGUAUAAGGCAAAGCAAUGUGCACACAUCAUGCAUCAACUGUAAAAUAUAUAGCAAUAUAUUAAUUAAUAACAUUUGUCUUGUGUUAAAUAUAACAUGGUGUUUUUCAACCAUGAAAUAUAUAUUUUGUAAGGUGCCUUGCCACCAUACAGGAAUGUUGAAUGAAAUUUGACUUCUGUGCAGCUAUUUUUCAAUUGGGUUUGAAGUGGAUCAUAAUGUUGUCAUAACAAUAGAAAAAAGCACUCCUGGUCAAGCCCACUUCAACAGAACUCGUUCAUGUUGAUACGAUGAACCAAGUCUGGUCAAAUGCUUUAAUUUCUGUUGAAAAUAUUGAUUUAUUUACAGAAAAAGCUCCUUAUAGUGUUGCAUUUGUGACUUUCACAUAAUCAAUAUAUAAAAAGGUAAAAGCUCUGAAAGAUCACAUGAAUUUAAAAUGCACAACAAUGAAUACAUGUCAAGGCAAUCUGCAAGGAACUGAAUCUAAGGGACAAUUUCCCAGUUCCUCUUUUUUUUUUAUACUCUACCGUCUCGUGCGCAAAUACAGGCAUGUGCAAUUCUUAGGAUUUUUGACGACCACACUUUGUGCACACAGUUGGAUCUGAUGGUCUGAUGUUCUGAUGUAAUAUUAAAUACGUGAGCAAUGAAUUAAAACGUACUUAAAAUACAGUAAUUCAUAGAACACAUUAUUUUUGUAACUUUGUUUGCAUAUUCAAAUGGUAGCAUUUCCAUAUAAAAAUAUAGGAAACUGCAUAAAUAUGAUUAUGAGGUUAUAUGAGGUUCCUUACUUUGUCCAUGGCUAGUCGUAAUAAACAAAUUGUUUACACAGAACUGUGAUCAGUUAACAUGUGCAUAGAUGGACGGAUUUUUAAUGCAAACCCUGAUGCCUUUAAAGCCAACCGAAGUUUGGUUAAACUGAAAAUAGUUGUGUUAGAAAUAGUUGUAGGUUUUCUGUAACACAUUCCGUGUAUUAAUAUAAACCCCAAAUACAAAGCGUCAUCAGUUUAGCUCAGGCAGCUGUGAUAACACCAGACAGGGUAGGCUGCAGCGUGUGUGGUUUUAGCCUUUUAAAUAGUGUCCAUGACGAUGGUUAGACACCAGUUGAGCAAAUCAUCAUGAAAAUAAUAUUUAGCAAUAGAUUAAAUACAAUUUAAUUAGUAAACUGUAGGAGGGAACUUUUUAGCGUUCUGAAAAAUACAGGUCUUGUUUUGUCAUGUCUGACAUUCAAGGAGAGAGGUUAAAGGUUAUAUUCUUCCAAAAGAAAUUGACUGAGAGCAUAUUGUGUAUGCUUGAUGCUGCUAUACGGUCAGGGUUUCAGUAGAACUCUCAAAUUAAUAGCUAGGCCCUAAGACCAAUGUCCACCAAUGGCCGCUUUGCUCACAAUGAUGCUAAGAAUGUUUAUUAAUAACGGUUCAGAUUUUUUUGCAUGGCAACUACUAACAGUUAUAUGUUUAUUGUUCUUGAAAAUGUAACAUCAUGUUAUGUAAUAUGUUAGAAAAUUUGUCUUCUUCAGUACAUAUUAUCCGACCUCUCCGAAGAUGUGCAUUCAAGGUGCACAGUACUGUGUUUUAGUGAAAUGUAGUGUAGUGUAUUGUGUUGGACUGUACUGUACUAUACUGUAGUAUGAUGUAUUGUGUUGUGUUUUGCUGUACUGUGCUGUGCUGUGCUAUAGUGUAGUGAAGUGUAUUGUACUGUGUUGUGUUGAUGAGUGUCUCAUUCAUCAAGACCUAGCUUUAUGAAGUCCUAGGAUGUAUGAUCUUUCCAUUUAUGGCAAAGAUUCAACUGCAAAUUGCUUUGUGCAGUAUAAAGAUAUUAACAAUCAAUGGUUGUUGUGAAACUAGUUUGAAGGCUUAUUAACAAGGAUUGUCUUAAUGAAGGAAAUCCUUAAAGACCUGGGUUUUAAUAGUUGCUAUCAGUCUGUAGCAGACGAGACAGUGUUUCCUUGUUGUUAUCAUCUGUUAAUCAUAACCUCCAUCUGCUGUGUUACAAAAUAGCAACUUACAUCUAAUCUUCUUUUAGCUAUUUGUGUGUGAAUGUGUGUGUGUGUGUGUGUGUGUGUGUGUGUGUGUGUGUGUGUGUGUGUGUGUGUGUGUGUGUGUGUGUGUGUGUGUGUGUGUGUGUGUGUGUGUGCCCGCCUGCCUGCCUGAUAUAUCUGGAUCAGUGUCUGUGUAUUGUAUGUAUUGUAUGUAUCAGUUUCUUGCUAUAUCUUAAUAUUGUUACAGAUUAACCAUUGUCAUUCUGAA
ensembl:lncRNA